AUUGAACGCUGGCGGCAGGCUUAACACAUGCAAGUCGAGCGGAGAUGAGGUGCUUGCACCUUAUCUUAGCGGCGGACGGGUGAGUAAUGCUUAGGAAUCUGCCUGGUAGUGGGGGACAACGUUUCGAAAGGAACGCUAAUACCGCAUACGUCCUACGGGAGAAAGCAGGGGACCUUCGGGCCUUGCGCUAUCAGAUGAGCCUAGGUCGGAUUAGCUAGUAGGUGAGGUAAUGGCUCACCUAGGCGACGAUCCGUAACUGGUCUGAGAGGAUGAGCAGUCACACUGGAACUGAGACACGGUCCAGACUCCUACGGGAGGCAGCAGUGGGGAAUAUUGGACAAUGGGCGAAAGCCUGAUCCAGCCAUGCCGCGUGUGUGAAGAAGGUCUUCGGAUUGUAAAGCACUUUAAGUUGGGAGGAAGGGCAGUAAGUUAAUACCUUGCUGUUUUGACGUUACCGACAGAAUAAGCACCGGCUAACUCUGUGCCAGCCGCCGCCGUAAGAC
rnacentral:rRNA from 1 species